AACGAACGCUGGCGGCAGGCUUAACACAUGCAAGUCGAGCGCCCCGCAAGGGGAGCGGCAGACGGGUGAGUAACGCGUGGGAAUCUACCCAUCUCUACGGAAUAACGCAUGGAAACGUGUGCUAAUACCGUAUACGUCCUUCGGGAGAAAGAUUUAUCGGAGAUGGAUGAGCCCGCGUUGGAUUAGCUAGUUGGUGGGGUAAAGGCCGACCAAGGCGACGAUCCAUAGCUGGUCUGAGAGGAUGAUCAGCCACACUGGGACUGAGACACGGCCCAGACUCCUACGGGGGGCAGCAGUGGGGAAUAUUGGACAAUGGGCGCAAGCCUGAUCCAGCCAUGCCGCGUGAGUGAUGAAGGCCCUAGGGUUGUAAAGCUCUUUCACCGGUGAGGAUAAUGACGGUAACCGGAGAAGAAGCCCCGGCUAACUUCGUGCCAGCAGCCGCCGUAACAC
rnacentral:rRNA from 1 species